rnacentral:lncRNA from 1 species
UACGGUAAUGAAAGUGUUGAAUAUAAAAUAUUGAAAUAGCGAACAAUGGUAUCUGUACUAUUUCAUUAUUGUGAUCUAGGGCUUGUUUGAUUCAUCUAUUUUAAACUAUAAAAUCAGAAUAGAAUUCAUUAAUUUCGAUAGUUGUCAUUUAUUCUACAGAAAUUAGAUUCCAAUUCUCAUUCCACUUUGGAACGGUAAGGAGCCAAUUCAUUUCUGGCCCAAAAUUCUAGAUAUUCAUUUUGAUUUUCAUUAAGCAAUGAACAAAAAAAUUUUGAAUUAUUUUCAUUCCGUUUUUCAAUCCAAUACCAUCCAAUUUUAUUUUUUAUUUUCAUUUCAGUCGUGGACCAAACAUGUCAUUAAUUUUUAUACGUUUUACGAGGCCGAAUAUUAUU